rnacentral:miRNA from 1 species
UCACCUGAUAUCUUGUUAAAAUGCAGAUCAGUAAGUCUAGGGUGCAACCUGGGAUUCUGCAUUUCUAACACAUUCCUAAGUGGUGC